rnacentral:lncRNA from 1 species
AGGAGGUGUAAUAAAGGCUCACGAAAUGGAUGCCCGAGGUUUGUUGUUGCUCAUUGGGUGUUUCGGGAUUCCACAAGCAUUUACAAAUCUGGAUAUCAGAUAUUUGGUUACGGUUAGUGAUGCCUGGAUGAUUUCUGGUGCCCUCAGGAGAUCAAGUGUUCUCAUGGAAACAUAGUGAUGCCUGGGUGAUUUCUGGUGCCCUCAGGAGAUCAAGUGUUCUCAUGGAAAAGAUCCCAGAAAUAAUUGAGUGGAUGUUGAAGCAAAACAUAGUAGUUGAGGCCGUUGACAU